ACGGAGGGUGCGAGCGUUGUCCGGAAUCACUGGGCGUAAAGGGCGCGUAGGCGGCUCAUUAAGUGGCUGGUGAAAUCCCGGGGCUCAACUCCGGGGCUGCCGGUCAGACUGGUGGGCUCGAGCACGGUAGAGGCGGAUGGAAUUCCCGGUGUAGCGGUGGAAUGCGUAGAGAUCGGGAAGAAUACCGGUGGCGAAGGCGUUCCGCUGGGCCGUUGCUGACGCUGAGGCGCGACAGCGUGGGGAGCAAACAGGA
rnacentral:rRNA from 1 species